CCAAGCCAAUAAUUUCUUUGAAGAAGAAUGUUUUAAGCGUGUUUCUUUACCAUGUUAGGCCAGUAGGUACAGAGAAAAUAAUAUUAGCUCUUUAUGUCAGCAUAGGUAACAAAGCCUUAAAAAAUUCACAGCUGAAUGCAACAGUGAAGGCCGUUGACAAGAGAGGUUGCAUUACUUCAACCAGGGCUACUGCAGUGAACCAAAAAAAGAACUGAGUUCUAGGCUUCCAUCUCCAGGCUACAUCUUAACUGACUAAGAGGGCAGUUUAGCUGUCCAGGAAGAACUCGAUUGCUAACUCUCACUGAUAAUUUUGCAACAGUGACAAUAAAGAAUGAAUUUUAAAAAGAAAAACUUGUCUCCCUGAACUAUUGAACUCCAGAAAAAGUAGUACUUACAGUCUUUGCUUUAAGA
rnacentral:lncRNA from 1 species